rnacentral:rRNA from 1 species
UACGUAGGGGGCAAGCGUUGUCCGGAUUUAUUGGGCGUAAAGAGCGUGUAGGCGGCCAGGGAGGUCCGCUGUGAAAUCUCGAGGCUCAACUUCGAGCUGUCGGUGGAAACUGUCUGGCUAGAGUCCGGAAGAGGAGAAUGGAAUUCCUGGUGUAGCGGUGAAAUGCGCAGAUAUCAGGAAGAACACCCGUGGCGAAGGCGAUUCUCUGGGACGGUACUGACGCUGAGACGCGAAAGCGUGGGGAGCGAACAGG